rnacentral:rRNA from 1 species
AUUGAACGCUGGCGGCAGGCCUAACACAUGCAAGUCGAACGGUAACAGGAAGCAGCUUGCUGCUUCGCUGACGAGUGGCGGACGGGUGAGUAAUGUCUGGGAAGCUGCCUGAUGGAGGGGGAUAACUACUGGAAACGGUAGCUAAUACCGCAUAAUGUCGCAAGACCAAAGAGGGGGACCUUCGGGCCUCUUGCCAUCGGAUGUGCCCAGAUGGGAUUAGCUUGUUGGUGGGGUAACGGCUCACCAAGGCGACGAUCCCUAGCUGGUCUGAGAGGAUGACCAGCCACACUGAAACUGAGACACGGUCCAGACUCCUACGGGAGGCAGCAGUGGGGAAUAUUGCACAAUGGGCGCAAGCCUGAUGCAGCCAUGCCGCGUGUAUGAAGAAGGCCUUCGGGUUGUAAAGUACUUUCAGCGGGGAGGAAGGGAGUAAAGUUAAUACCUUUGCUCAUUGACGUUACCCGCAGAAGAAGCACCGGCUAACUCCGUG